rnacentral:tRNA from 1 species
GCGGGGUGGCCAAGUGGUAAGGCAGGGGACUGCAAAUCCCCCAUCACGGGUUCGAUUCCCGUCCCCGC